AGUGAACGCUGGCGGUAGGCCUAACACAUGCAAGUCGAACGGCAGCACAGUAAGAGCUUGCUCUUACGGGUGGCGAGUGGCGGACGGGUGAGGAAUACAUCGGAAUCUACUCUUUCGUGGGGGAUAACGUAGGGAAACUUACGCUAAUACCGCAUACGACCCACGGGUGAAAGCAGGGGAUCUUUGGACCUUGCGCGAUUGAAUGAGCCGAUGUCGGAUUAGUUAGUUGGCGGGGUAAAGGCCCACCAAGGCGACGAUCCGUAGCUGGUCUGAGAGGAUGGUCGGCCACACUGGAAGUGGAACACGGUCCAGGCUCCUGAGGGAGGGAGCAGUGGGGAAUGUUAGACAGUGGGGGCGAGCCUGGUCCAACCGGACCACGUGGGUGGAGAAGGCCUUCGGGUUGUAAAGCCCUUUUGUUGGGAGAGAAAAGCAGCAGGUUAAUACCCCGCUGUUCUGACGGUACCCGAAGAAUAAGCACCGGCUAACUUCGUG
rnacentral:rRNA from 1 species